rnacentral:lncRNA from 10 species
CUCCGGCUUCCCUCCAGGCGGCAGCGGAAGGUGGGAGCGACGACUGCAAAACGGCAGCGAUGGGCUCCCGCAACCUCCGGAGCUUGUGCGCGUACUUCAGGGACCGGCACCACGUCACCGUCACCUCCUGAGUAACUUAGUUAUUACCAGGAACAGAUGACCAGUUGCAAGAACUGUCACUAUUUUAACAUUCUCCAUCAGCUGUGGCCAUGUUGGAUUUCUGGCACCUGAGCAUUCACAUCCAUCUGUUUAUAGGGCAUUAUGCCCACUCAUGAGGUUUAUUCCAGUUUCAAAAAGUCAUGUGUAAACCAAGAUUGGAAAUAUAUAUUCCUUGAGAAAUAGAGACACAGACACACAAGGGAGAGUGCCAUAUGAAAAUGGAGGCAGAAUGGAGUGAUGCAUCUACAAGCCAAGGAACACCAAAAAUUGCCAGCAACUACUAGAAGCUAGAAGAGGCAAGAAAGGACUUUCUAGAGCCUUUGGAAAGCAUGAUUCUGCCACAUCUUGAUUUUGGACUUCCAGCCUCUAGAACUGUGAGAGAGUAAGUUUCCAUUGUUUUAAACCACCCAAUUUGUAUUAAUUUGUUAUAGAAGCCCUGGGAAACAAAUAAACUACUUUAGAUCAGUUAGGAAGGCUUCUUGAACUAUAUGACAUUUAAACAGAGACAUAAAUGAUGAGACUGUCCCAGCCAAGUUAAAAAUAUCACUGGGAAUCAAACUCACUGGUGUUAUUCCAGCUCAGUGGUAAAUGUUCUACUGGUAUUUUAAAUAAUUCUAAAAUAAAGUCAUUAUUUUUCUUUGCACUCCAAAGUCCUUCUUUGCAAAAACUAUAUGAAGUAGGCAUUAAUAUUCAGACUUACUAUAUAGAGGCUAAGGAACUUAGACCUAGUAAGUAGCAGAGCCUAGAUUCAAGCUCAGGUAACCUAGCUUCAGGAGCCUGUAAUUUAAACCAUCAGGUUAUACUGACUCUAUUCUCAACCUUAUGCAGUGUGCUUUCAUUCUUCCCACAAGCUUCCAAGGUGUCCUUUUUUGUGAUAUCCCAUGGAAUCCAGUCUCAUAUGUGAAAUUUAGCUUUUCUUUUUUGUCUCCUACUUUUCCUCUUUUCCUUUAUAAUGAUAGUAGUACAGAUUGCUAAAUGUAUUGAGCACUAAGUGUGCCAGCUCUUUUAAUUCAAACAACAACCAUAUGAGGUAGAUACUAUUAUCAUCCUCAUAUUCCAGAGGAUAUUUCUAUGGCUUAGAGAGGUUAAGUGACAUAUGUGGGAUCAUAAUACUAAUAAAUGGCAGACCCUGGGUUGGUUGGAUCUGUCUGACUUCAAAGCUUCUACUUUUAAAAAAAUUCGAUGUAAAACCAAGGUAUAACUUACAUGAUUUAAGAUGCACAACUCCUAAAUAUUUAGUAUGAUGAACUCUGAUAUGUUCUAUACCUGUGUAAUUAUCAUCACCCAGAACAUUCCCUGAUGGAAAGACUCCUUAAUCACCCCCCUUAACAGUAGAUAAUCCUCCAAAGAUAAACAACAUUCUGUUAUAUAUCACCAUGAAUUAACUUUAUUUUUGAACUUUCUAGAAGUAGAAUCAUAUAGUAUAUUUUCUUCAGUGUCUCAUUUCUUUCCAGAGUCCUUAUUUUUAAUGACCAUGUUAUACUUUGUCCAACAAAACUGCCAAGUCCUCUGUCCUAUUUUCCUAGGCUCUUGCUAAGUAACCUAUGUUGAUGAUGUAAUAUGCUAAUUCUUGCUAAAAUAUUAGUGGGUGAAAAUUGUUUAAGUUACUUUUUUGGGGGGAUAACUUAUUAGUAUCAUAACUGACCUUAAGCUGAGAAGAAUGACUAUUAUGAAAAUUCUAAGUAGAGUCUGAGAGACUUUUAGGCAAAAGGGGCCUAGCUAGUUCCAGUUUUAUAUGGUUUGUUAACUUUAGGAAAGAUGCUCAUAAAUGAAUGCAUAGAAGGAAAGCAAAAGCUGAAAAAAAGGGGGAAACUGAAAGUAUGUAAAUACUUCUGGGCAAAGAAAGGCUGUAUGAGUUUUAUGGUAUUGGGAGAGGGGAGUGUCCUGGUCCAUUUCUCCUGCUGUAACUAAAUACCUGAGACUUAGUAAUUUAUAAACAAUAGACAUUUAUUUCUCUUAGUUCUGGAGGCUCAGAAGUCACAGAUCAAGGCACCAGCAAGUCUGAUGACUGGUAAAGCCCCAUUUUCCAUAGAUGGUGCCAUCUAGGUGUCCUUACAUGGUAGAAGGGCAAAAAGGGAACAAAUGUUUUUUCCUCACAUGGCAAAAGAGCAGAAAGGCAAGAGAGAGCUCCCUUCAACCUUUGAGCCCUUUUAUAAGGGUGCUAAUCCCAUUUAUGAGGUCAGAGCCCUCAUGACUUAAUCAUCUCUCUCUUAGUACUCUUGCAUUGGGGAUUGAGUUUCAACAUGAAUUUUGGAGGGGACACAAAUAUUCAAAUCAUAGCACUGGUACACUAAUUGUGGACCUUUAAAAUUUAUUUCUAAAAUGUAAAUGUUGUAUCUAUAACUGAAAUUGAAAUACCACAGAAGAAAUCUUAGAUGUAUAAAAAGAAAUGUUAAUGUCAUAUAGAAAAAUGAACAUUGAAGUUGUCAAAAGUUUUGGGUUCUAGUCACUGCUCUGCAGCUUACCAGCUAAUUACCUCGCUUAAAUCACCUAAUCUUUCUGAGUCAACUUCAGUAUAUGCAUAAAAACAUUUACCCUGCCUGACAGGAUUGGUGUGAAGAUUAAAUAUGAAAUAAGCUAGUUUAUAUUAAUGUGCUUUAUAAAGUCUCAUAUAUGAAGCUUUAUAUAUAUACACAUAUCACUGUCAUAAAAUAGUUAAUACAAUAUUAGAUAUAUGAAAAAUUGAAUACUGUAACCACCUGAUGCAAUAGAAAGUCUUAAUGACAUUGUUUUUGAAGAACUUCUAAUUUAAUAACCCAGGCUUCCAGUCACUCAGUUCAAGUUUGUCAGAACUCUAAAUGAAUGGAUUUGGAAAAAUACAAGAGCAAUUUUCUUUCCCAUUUCCUUUUGCUUUUACAUUUCACCUCUUCUCAGUGAUAAAUUUUGUUGGAAAGCAAGACAUAAUUUUUUUACUUUUACCCUUUUCCUUAGAGUUUCUUGCAUGUCACACGUGAAUUUGCCUAGGGAUUCUCCUGUAACAAGAAUUAUUUAAUUGUCAGGUAAGAGUGUGAAGAAUUUAUUAGAAAAAUGUGAAAGACUUCAUACUGAUAACCAAUUAUUAUUAUUAUUAUUAUUUUGAGACCGAGUUUCGCUCUUGUUGCCCAGGCUGUAGUACAGUGGCGCAAUCUUGGCUUACUGCAACCUCCCCCUCCCGGGUUCAAGUGAUUCUCCUGCCUCAGCCUUCCUGAGUAGCUGGGAUUACAAGCAUGCGCCACCAUGCCCGGCUAAUUUUGUAUUUUUAGUAGAUAUGGGAUUUCUCCAUGUUGGUCAGGCUGGUCUCGAACUCCCGACCUCAGAUGAUCUGCCUGCCUCGGCCUCCCUAAGUGCUGGGAUUACAGGCGUGAGCCACCGUGCCCUGCUGAUAACCACUUACUAAUUUAUAGCCAAUUUAAAAAAAUUGGCGUGGGGUGGGGAGGCACGCUGGGUAGGAGGAUGGGUAGUAAUAAUAUGUUCCGCUUUACUUUGGACUGCCAUCUACUGGUAAAUUAAGUCAGACAAUGUUUGACAAACAAAACAAUUAUGUUCAGAGAUUAGAACAAGGAACUUGUUGAAGAAUGACAUCAGCAAAAUAGUGGAACAGAAGUUCCUAGUACUCAUCUCACAGAAACAUAAAUUUAAACAUCUAUCCACACUAAAAAAAUACCUUUACAAGAACUAAGAAAUUCAAGUGAGGGAUUAUAGCACCUGGAUGUAGCAUGGAAAUAAGAAAACAUGUAUUCAUGACGACAGGAAAGACAGUUUUACAUUACCUGUGUGCUAUGGUUUGAAUGUGUCCUCUCCAAACUUCAUGUGCUGAAACUUAAUGACCAAUAUGAUGGUAUUAAGAGAUGGGGCCUUUAAGAGGUCAUGAGCUCUCCUUCUCUCAUGAUUAAGGCCUUUAUAAAAGGGGCUUUGUGUAGUGUUCACCUCAUUGCCUUUCCACCUUUUGCCAUGUGAAGACCUAGUAUUACUCCCCUCCAGAAGAUGCAACAAUAAGAUGCCAUCUUGAAAGCAGAGAGCAUCCCUCACCAAACAACCAAACCUAUCAGGGCCUUGAUUUUGGACUUCUUAGCCUCCAGAAUGAUGAGAAAAUAAAUUUGCUAUUUAUAAAUUAUCCAGUCUCUCAGAUAUUUUGUUAUAGCAGCACAAAACAGACUAAAGACACCAUGUCACUGUUUUCACAAGCCUGGGCAACACAUCAUGCAGAUAAAUACCCUUCAUGUGGGAAAAGCAGUGUGAAGUGAGCUCUCACCUUCACUUCAGACCCUGGCAGCAGGCCUACCCCAGUAAGCCCAGACUCUAGGACCACCCCAGCACCAGGAGUCUCCAGGCCAACUGUCCCAGUCUCCAGACCAGCUCAUGUGGUCACAGGCUCCAGGCCCAACCGAGAGACAGGCUUGACCUUGCAGCCUUAGGUUCUAGGCCAGCCCCUUGGACACAAGCUCCAGGCCUCCAAAGGUAAACAACAUUCUGCUAUCUCUCACUAUGGAUUAACUUUGUUUAUUUUUGAACUUCCUAGAAGUGGAAUUAUAUAGUAUAUUCGCUUUGGUGUCUCAUUUCUUUCCAGAGUCCUUAUUUUUGAUGACCAUGUUAUACUUUGUCCAACAAACCUGCCAAGUCUUCUGUCCUAUUGCCCUAGGCUCUUGCUAAAUAACCUAUGUUGAUGAUGUAAUGUGUUAAUUCUUGUUAAAAUAUUAGUGGGUGAAAAUGCCCUACCACUGCACCAACCCACCCCCUGCAGACUCAGGCUCUAGUCCCAUCCUAGCACCAAGCCAGCUCCCAUGGUCCCAGGCUCCAGACUGCCCCCUGUGGCCCUAUGCUCCAGAAUAUCUAGGUUCCAGGCCCACCCCAGUAGAAUUUGAUACUAGUCCAGCCCUCAAAGACCCAAGCUCCAGACUGGACCCCAUCAACCCAAGACCAAAGCCUGCCCGCAUGGACUCAGCCUCCAGGCCCACUACCAUGGACCCAGGUGCCAGGGCACCCCACUGAACCCUGGUGCUAGGUCAGCUCCUGUAAACUCAGGACCAGGCCCAUCUCCAUGGACCCAGGCACCAGGCCUCCCCUAGCAACAGGUUUUCCCUCAUGGACUCGGGCUUUAGGCUGGCCCCUGUAGACACAGGUUUCAGCCUACCUAUGCAUGCCUACCCAUGCAGGCCCAAUCUCUAGGCCCAACCCAGUGGAGUCCAGCACUAGGCUGGCCUCUGUGAACCCAAGAUCCAAGCCUAACCACCUAGAUUCGGGUUCAACGCCUGCCCCACUGGACCCAUGAGCCAGACUCAGCCAAGUGGACCUAGCCACCAGACCAGCCUGCCUGAGGAUUCCAACAGCAAGCUUGCAAGCAGACCCCACUAAAUGGCUCACCAAGAAUCUCUGGAUGGUCUGACUGGUAAAGGACUUUCCCUGCCAAAGCCAGUCUGUAAAGAUGGGAAAAGCUGCCUGCUUCUUUUUAAAAAUUAUAUUUUAUUUUUUAGAGACAGAGUCUUACUAUGUUGCCAGGCUGGAGUAUAGUGGAUAUUCAUAGGCACAAUCAUAGCACACUGCUGCCCCAAACUCCUGGGCUCAGGUGAUCCUCCUGCCUUAGCCUCCUGAGUAGCUGGGACUUCUGUGCCUGGUUAAGAGGUUCCUACUUCUCCAAAUAGACAAACACCAACACAACACCACAAGGAUUACAAAUAAAACUGCCUGACAAAGAAUUGAAAAUAAUUGUCUUCAAGAAACUUAGUAAGCUCCCAGAGAACACAGCUAGACAACUAAACAAUUAUCAGGAAAACAAUACAUAAGGAAAUGAGUUCAACAAAGAGAAGGCAUUUAAAAAUUCUGGAGCUGAAGAACACAAUGCUUGAACUGAAAAAUUCCAUAGAUAGAUUUAACAACAGAUUUGAUCAGUCAGAAGAAAGAACCAGUGAGACUGAAAACAGGUCAUUUGAAAUUAGAGCAGAGGAAAAAGAAUGAUAAAGAGUGAAGAAAGCCUAUGGGACUUAGAGAACACCAUCAUGUAAAACAAUAUUUGUGUGUAAGUUUUCUGGAAGGAGUAGAAAAAGAAAAGGGGAGAAAGCUUAUUUUAAGAAAUAGUAGCAGAAAACUUCCCAAAUCUGGAGAGGGAAAUGAAUGUCCAGAUUCAUGAAGCUCGAAGAACCCCAAAUAUAUUAAAUAUAAAGAGAUCUACCCCAAGACACAUUAUAAUCAAAUUCUCAAAAGCCAAAGACAAAGAUUAUUUUGAAAGCAGCGAGGAAAGACACGUCACAUGCAAUGGAACCCAUAUGAGAUGGUCAGUGAAUUUCUCAGCAGAAACCUUGCAGAUCUUGAGAGAGUGGAAUGACAUAUUUAAAGUGCUGAAAGAAAAAAAAAAACCUGAAAACCAAGAAUGCUACCCCUGGUAAAUCUUUCCUUCAGAAAUGAAGGAGCGAUAAAGACUUUCUCAGACAAACAAAAGCUGUGGGAGUUCAUCACCACUAGACAUACCUUACAAAAACUGUAAAGGGAGUUCAAGUUGAAACAAAAUGACACUAACUUUCUAGAAGCUGAAGCUGUGAAAAAUUUUUAAAAAUGACAUAAUAUAAAAACAUAGAAGUAUAAAACUGUAAAGGUAAGAAUACAGUCAAAUUCAGAAUACUCUAAUACUAAUGAUGGUAAUGAUAGUACAUAAAUAACUCUAGUAAAAAGUUAAAAGUCGUGAGUGUUAAAAAUAAAUAUGGCAACAAUAAUUUGUUAGUGGAUACACAUUAUAUAAAACAUGCAAAUUGUGACACCAGUACAUAAAAUGUGAGAGGAGGAGAAGUUAAAAGUGUAGAGUUUUGUAUGUGGUUGAAGUUAAGUUGUUAUUAGAUCCAAAUAGACUGUUAUAAGAUGUUUUAUGUAAGCCUUAUGGUAACCACACACAAGAAAAGUCUGUAGUAAAUAAAAGAUAAAGAAGACGAAAUCAAAGCACACCACUACAAAAAUAAAUCAUUAGGCUGGGCACAGUGGCUCACGCCUGUAAUCCCAGCAUUUUGGGAGGCCGAGGCGGGCAGAUCAUGAGGUCAGGAUAUCGAAACCAUCCUGGCUAACAUGGUGAAACCCCGUCUCUACUAAAAAUACAAAAAAUUAGCUGGGCAUGGUGGCGGACGCCUGUAGUCCCAGCUACUCGGGAGGCUGAGGCAGGAGAAUGGCAUGAACCUGGGAGGCAGAGCUUGCAGUGAGCCGAGAUCGCACCACUGCACUCCAGCCUGGGCAACAGAGCGAGACUCCAUCUCAAAAAAAGAAUAAAAAUAAAAAUAAAAAUAAAUAAAUCCUUAAAUCACAAAAGAAGUCAGCAAGAGAGAAAGAAAGGAACAAAGGAACUACAAAACAGAUUUAAAUGAUUAACAAAAUGGCAAUAUUAAGUUCUUCCUAUCAAUAAUUAAUUGUAAGUGGAUUCAGUUCUUCAACAAUAGAGUGGCUGAAUGGAUAAAAGGAAAACAAGAUUCAAUUAUAUGCUACCUACCAGAUACUCACUUAAGCUUUAGGGACACACAUAGGCUGAAAGUGAAGGGAUAGAAAAAGAAGAUAUUCCAUGCAAAUGGUAACCAAGGGUGAACAGCAGUGGUUAUACUUAUAUUGGACAAAAUAUACUUUAAGUCAAAAACUUUCACAAGGACAAAGAAGCUAAUUAUAUCAUAGUAAAGAGAUCAGUCUAUCAAGAGGAUAUAACAAUUAUGAAUACUAUGCACUCAACAUUGGUGUACCUACAUAUUUAGCAAAUAUUAACUGAACAGAGAAAUAGAAAGCAAUAUAAUAAUAGUAGAGUACUUCAAUACCUCACUUUCAAAAAUGGAUAGAUAUAGAUCAUCCAGACAGAAUAUUGAUAAGGAAACAGUGGACUUGAAAUACAGUAUAAUAUAAACCAAAUGGAUCUAACAGAUACGUACAGGACAUUCCAUCCAACAGCAACAGAAUACACAUUCUUUUCAAGUGUACGUGAAACUUUCUCAAGGAUAGAUCAUAUGUUAGGCUGUAAAACAAGUCUUAACAAAUUUAAAAAGAUUGAAAUAAUUAUCAAUAUCUUUUUCAACGACAAUGUUAUGAAAUGCUGUAAAAUGUUAGGAAAACAACAGGAAGAAAAUUAGAAAAUACACAAAUUUGUGUAAAUUAGACCACAUACACUCGAAUAACCAAUAGGUCAAAGAAGUCUUCAAAAGAAAAAUAAAAGGCCAGGUGCCUGUAAUCCCAGCACUUUGGGAGGCUGAGGUGGGUGGAUCACCUGAGGUCAGGAGUUCGAGACCAGCCUGGCCAACAUGAUGAAAUUCCGUCUCUACGAAAAAUACAAAAAUUGGCCAAGCAUGGAGGCAGGCACCUGUAAUCCCAGCUACUCGGGAGGCUGAGGCAGGAGAAUCACUUGAACCCAGGAGGCAGAGGUUGCAGUGAGCCAAGAUCGCGCUACCACACUCCAGCCUGGACAACAAGAGUGAAACUCCAUCUCAAAAAAAAAAAAAAAAGAGAAAUGAAAAAUAUCUUGAGACAAAUGAAAACAAAACCACAAUAUAACAAAACUUACUGGAUGCAACAAAAGCAGUCCUAAGAGGGAAGUUUAUAACAAUAAAUGCCUACUUAAGAAAAAAGAAAGAUCUCAAAUAAACAACCUAUCUUUAUAUCUCAAGGAACUAGAAAAAGAAGAAUGAAUUAAGGCUGAAGUUAGCAGAAGGAAAGAAAAUACAAAUCCAAGCAGAAAUAAGUGAAACAGACUAGAAAUAUUACAAAAGAUCAAGGAAACUAAGAGUUGAGUUUUUUUAAAUAUAAGCAAAAUUGACAAACUUUAGCUAGACUAAUAAAAAAAGAGAGAAGACUCAAAAUAUUAAAUUAUAAAUGAAAGAACAAAAAUUGAAAAAAGCCAGGCACACUGUUGUGCAGCUGUAACCCCACCUACUCAGGAGGCUGGGGUGGGAGGAUCUCUUGAACCCAGGAGUUUUAGGCCAGCCUAAACAAUGUAGUGAGACCCUGUCUCAAAACAAACAAUUAUAAUUGAAAGAGGAGAUAUUAUAACUGAUAUCACUGAAAUAUGAGGAAUCAUAAGAGACAGCUAUGAAAAUUAUAUGCCAACAAUUGGAUAACUUAGAAGAAAUAGAUAAAUUUCUAGAAACAUAAAAUUUACCAAGGCCGAAUAAUGAAGAAAUAGAAAAUCUGAACAGACAAAUGAUAAGCAAGAAGAUUGAAUUGAUAAUCAAAAAAACCUCCCAAAAAGAAAAACCCAGGAUCUGAUGGCUUUAUUGGUUAAUUCUACCCAACAUUUAAACAAAAAUUAAUGCCAAUUGUUUUCAAACCCUUAAAAAUUCAAGAGCAGGGAGCACUUACAUCAUGAGAACAGCAUUACCUUGACACCAAAGCUAGAUAGUUGGACACUAUAAGAAAAGAAAUUAUAAGCCAAUAUCCAUGAUGAACAUAGAUGCAAAAAUCCUUAACAAAAUACCAGCAAACUGAAUUCAAUUACACAUUAAAAGGAUCAUACGCCACAAUCAAGUGGAUUUAUCUCUGGGCUGCAAAGGUAGUUCAACACAUGCAAAUCAAUAAAUGUGAUACACCACAAUAACCAAAUGAAGGACAAUCAUAUGUUCAGUUCAAUAGAUGCAAAAAAAAAAAAAAGCAUUUGACAAAAUUCGACAUCCUUUCAUGAUUAAAAAUUCUCAACAUUAGCUAUAGGAGGAAUGUGCCUGAAAGGCCAUACAUCACAAGCCUAGAGCCAAUAUAAUACUCUAUGGUGGAAAGCUAAAAGCUUUUCCUCUAAGAUGAGGAGCAAGACAAGAAAACCUACUCUUCUCACUUCUAUUCAGCAUGCUACUAGAAGUCCUAGCUAGAGCAAUUAGGCAAGAAAAAGAUAUAAAAGACAAGAAAACCCACUCUUGUCACUUCUAUUCAAAAUACUACUGGAAAUCCUAGCUAGAGCAAUUAGGCAAGAAAAAGAAAAGGCAUUCAAAUUGGAAGAAGUAAAACAGUCUCUGUUUACAGAUGACAUAAUCUUGUAUAUAGAAAACCCUAAAGACUUCACCAAAGAACUGUUACAGCUAAUAAAUGAAUUCAGUAAGCUGCAAGAUACAAAAUCAAAUACAAAAAUAAGUUGUGUUUCUAUACACUAACAAUGAACUGAGAAGGAAAUUAAGAAGAUAAUCCUAUUUACAAUAGCAUAAAGAAAUACUUCAAAUACAUUUAACCAGGGAGGCAAAAGAUUUGUAUACUGAAAACUCUCAAACAUUGAUGAAAGAAACUGAAAUAGACACAGAUAAAUGGAAAGAUAUUCUAUUUUCAUGGAUUGGAAGAAUCGAUAAUGUUAAAAUGUCCAUACUACUCAUAUAAACCUAAAGAUUCAGUGCAAUCACUCUCAAAAUUCCCAUGGCAUUUCUCACAGAUAGAAAAGCUAUCCUAAAAUUUGUAAGUAACCAUAAAAGAUCGCAACUAGCCAAAGCAAUCUUGAGCAAGAACAAAGCUGGAGGCAUCAUGCUACCUAAUUUCAAAAUAUACUAUAAAACUAUAAUAAUCGAAACAGCGUGGUCCAGGCACAAAAACACAUAGGCCAAUUGAACAGAAUAGAGAGCUCAGAAAUAAAUCCACGCACUUACAGUCAAUUGAUCUUUGACAAAGGUGCCAAGAAAACACAGUGGGGGAAUAGACAGUCUCUAAUCAGUAGUGGUAUGGAAACCAUAUAUUCACAUGCAGAAAAAUGAAAUUGUACUCAUGUCACUUCAUAUGCAAAAAUCAAGUCAAAAUGGAUUAAAGCUUAAAUGUAAGACCUGAAACUAUAAAAAUACUGGAAGAAAAAGAAAACAUGAGGGAGAAAUUCUUGGUAUUGGUCUGGGUACUGAUUUUUUUGAUAUGACACAGCACAGGCAACAAAAGCAAAAAUAGUCAAAUAGGGUUAUAUUAAACCAGAAAGCUUCUGGACAUGAAAGGAAGGACAUAGAGUGAAGAGACAACCUAUGGAACAGGAGAAAGUAUUUCCAAACUAUGCCUCAAAUAAAGCAUUAAUAUCUGAAUUAUAUAAGGAACUCAAACAAAUCAGUAGCAGGAAAGUAAAUAAUCCAAUUAAAGAAGUAAAAGGACUUGAACAGACAUUUCUCAAAAGAAGAUGUGCAAAUGGCUAGCAGGUAUAUGAAAAAAUUCUCAACACCACUAAUUAUCAGCAAAAUGCAAAUUAAAACCACAGUGAGGCUCGGCACAGUGGCUCAAGCAUGUAAUUCUAGCAGUCUGGGAGGCUGAGGCAGGUGGAUCACUUGAGGCCAGGAUUUGGAGACCGGCCUGGCAAGCAUGGUGAAACCCUGACUCCACUAAAAAUACAAAAAUUAGCCAUCCAUGGUGGUGCAUGCCUGUAAUCCCACCUACUUGGGAGGCUGAGGCAUGAGAAUUGCUUGAACCCGGGAGGUGGAGGUUGCAAUAGGCCAAGAUCAUGCCACUGCACUCCAGCCUGGGUGACAGAGCGAGACCAUGCCUCAAAAACAACACAAUGAGAUGUCUCCUCACACCCGUUAGAAUGGUUAAUAUAAAAAAGACAAAAGAUAGCAAGUGUUGGUGAGGCUGUGGAGAAAAGGAAACCCUUGUGCAUUGUUGUUGGCAAUGUAAAUUGGUAUAGCCAUUAUGGAAAAUAGUAUGGAGCCUUCUCAAAAAAAAAAAAAAAAAAAAAAAAAAACAGAAAUAGAACUACCAUAUGAUUCAGCAAUUCCACUUCUGGGUAUGUAUCCAAAGGAAAUGAAAUCAGUAUGUUAAGAGGUAUGUGCACUCCCAUGUUCACUGCAGCAUUAUUCACAAUAGCCAAGAUGUGGAAUCAACAUAGUGCCCAUCAAUGGAUGAAUGGAAAAAAUGUGAUACACACACACACACACACACACACACACAAUGGAAUAUUAGCCAGCCUUAAAAAAGGAAAUAUUGGGCCAGGUGCAGUGGCUCACACCUGUAAUCCCAGCACUUUGGGAGGCUGAGGCGAGCAGAUCAUGAGGUCAGGAGUUUGAGACCAGCCUGGGCAACAUGGUGAGACCCUGUGUUAGCUCUACUAGAAAUACAAAAAAUUAGCCGGGCGUGGUGGUACGCAUCUGUAGUCCCAGCUACUCAGGAGGCUGAGGCAGGAGAAUCGCUUGAACCUGGGAGGCGGAGGUUGCAGUGAACUGAGAUCGCGCCACUGCACUCCAGCCUCGGCGACAGAGCAAGACUCCGUCUCAAAAAAAAGGAAAUCUUGUCUUUUGGGACAACAUGGAUGAGCUUGGAGGACAUUUUACUAAGUGAAAUGAGUCAGGCACACAAAGACAAAUACUGUGUGAUCUCGCGUACAUGUGAAAUCUAAAAAGGUAGAACUAGAGGCAGAAAGUAAAAUGGUGUUUGCCAGGAGCUAGGAGGUAGGAGGAAUGGGAAGAUGUUGGUGAAGGGUACAGAGUUUCACUUAUGCAGGAUGAAUAAGUUUUGGAGAUUUAAUGUCCAACAUGGUGACUACAGUUAAUAAGACACUAUUAUAUAUGUGAAAUUUGCUAAGACGGAUCUUAAAUGUUCUCACCACAUACACACACAACAGGUAACUAUGUGAGGUAAUGGAUAUGCUAAUUAACUUGAUUGCAGUAAUCAUUUCACAAUAUACAUGUAUCAAAAUAUCACCUUGUAUACCUUAAAUAUAUUCAUUUUUUAUUUGUCAAUUAUACCUCAAUAAUGCUGGAGAAAACAAUUGACUUAUUUUGUAUAAAAUAUAUACUAGUUAUUAGAAUCAUGGAAAAUGGUGGUUUGAUUUACUAAUUUAAUGAUUCAAUUAUUAAAUUUUUCUCAAGGCUUUUUUUGGGGAAAUUUCUUUAUUCUAAAUUCUGAGCUCCAAUUAGAAACAUCAGAUGUAUGUGUUGAGGGUCUAUUAUGUUAAUGAAUCAAAUAUUUAAGUGUUUAUGUAUCACACUGUGCAAGGCACUGGAGAUAUGAUGGUGAAAAGUACAGAAUUUCCCUGCCCAUAUGGAACUGUGGUAAGGCUAAAAAUAAAUUAAAUGACAGAUUUCUAAAAGAUGUUACGAAUAGAAUGAGGCAGAGAGAGAGAAUACUCAGUGGUUGAGGUAACUACUAUCAGGAAAGGCUUUUUUUUAAAAACAAACAACAACAAAAAAACAAGGUCUUGUGCUGUCACCUGGGCCGGAGUGCAGUAGUGCCUCCACCUCCCAGCCUCAAGAAAUCGUCCCACCUCAGCCUCCUGAAAAACUGGGACUACAGGUGCAAGCCACCAUGCCCAACUAAUUUUUUCAUUUUUGUAGAGAUAGGGUCUUUCUAUGUUGCCCAGGCUGGUCUCAAACUUCUGGACUCAAGUGAUCCUCCCACCUCAUCCUCCUAAAGUGAAGGGAUUACAGGUGUGAGCCACCAUGCCCAGCAGGUAAGGCAUUUCUGAGAAGAACUUUAAGUAUCUGUUCUUUGCUAUAUUCCUAAUACUAGGCACAGUGCCUGGUACAUAGUCAAUACUGAAUGUAUAUUUGAUGAAUUAAAGGAUGGAUUAUACCAGGAAAUGGCUUUGAAGAGAGGCAUUGACCAGAGAUGAAAUACCAUCAGCUUUUCUUUUUUGACUGGUCAUAGAUGUUUGGGUUGGUCUGGCCUAAAGGUAGAAAUACGCAAUGGGAAAGAGAGCAUAGGAAAACUAUUGGAGAUAUAUAUAUAUAUGGCAUAGUAAUAUCCUUUUGAUAUGGGCCAGCUUAUAAAGUCCAAUCCAGGCAGAAAGAUUGAUGCGAAUGUUGACUCUGUCAGUUCAAGUCUACUAUCAUUUAGUUUACUACUAAAGUACCAAACAAGCAGUGCAAGGGAUAUGUACACCAAAUAAGCAUGUAAGUGAAUAGAUGCAGCUCUUUAAUGCUUCCUUGUACUUGACAAAUGCCCAAGUUCGGUAAUUGAGGCAGCCCAUGAGGAAUAAGAUCAAAGGGGUUCAAAACUACAGACCUUGGUAACAUUAGGCUGGGUGAGGGGGCCAUAGUUAAGGAUCUAAUUCACUAAUAUAUAAAAAAUUUGUUGUUGUACUAUAGUAAUGUAUUUACACAGUCUGUUCCUUCUGCACCCUCUGGCCAAUACUAGAGCUGUAGGCCUGCCAAACCUUCCUUGAAGCAAAGUCUAAUUGAAGACCUAAGAGUAAGAUGCAAACUUACGUGGAAUAAUUAAAUGUUAGUUUAUAACUGUAAUAAUAAUGUAAUAAGAAAGGAGGGAA